rnacentral:rRNA from 1 species
AGUGAACGCUGGCGGUAGGCCUAACACAUGCAAGUCGAACGGCAGCACAGGAGAGCUUGCUCUCUGGGUGGCGAGUGGCGGACGGGUGAGGAAUACAUCGGAAUCUACUCUGUCGUGGGGGAUAACGUAGGGAAACUUACGCUAAUACCGCAUACGACCUAAGGGGGAAAGCAGGGGACCUUCGGGCCUUGCGCGAUUGAAUGAGCCGAUGUCGGAUUAGCUAGUUGGCGGGGUAAAGGCCCACCAAGGCGACGAUCCGUAGCUGGUCUGAGAGGAUGAUCAGCCACACUGGAACUGAGACACGGUCCAGACUCCUACGGGAGGCAGCAGUGGGGAAUAUUGGACAAUGGGCGCAAGCCUGAUCCAGCCAUACCGCGUGGGUGAAGAAGGCCUUCGGGUUGUAAAGCCCUUUUGUUGGGAAAGAAAUCCAGCUGGCUAAUACCCGGUUGGGAUGACGGUACCCAAAGAAUAAGCACCGGCUAACUUCGUGCCAGCAGCCGCGGUAA